rnacentral:lncRNA from 1 species
UUGCAAAUCUCAGUUUUUUACAGGUUUUUUCAGUUUUGGAAUCAACAAAAAGUUACAUGUUGCUAAAUCUGGUGGGAGAAGCAUGAUUGCAGCGUUGUUUUGCAAAAAAAAAUCCAAUGUACUUUUGAUCAAAAUUAAGUAGUUUUGGAAAAAACUUCCCUGACAGUCGUUUCAUGCCCAAGACGUUAGAAAAUGAGAGACAACCAAUAUGUGAAUAUACUUAGCAACCUCUCUGAUAAGGUGAUUGGGCUUCAAGAGCGAGGAUCAUCAUUCGCAUCUUCUCGGCCAUCUUGGAAGACAAAAUAUCGCCGAAUACACACUAUAAUUGCAAACUAUAUGCCUCUUACAUACAAAAUAAAUAUUAUAUAUUGUUGAACGAUGCCCCCAAAAUUUGAAAAAUCAUCUUAACUUUUGAACAAAC